rnacentral:rRNA from 1 species
UGCCAGCCGCCGCGGUAAUACGGAGGGGGCGAGCGUUAUUCGGAAUCAUUGGGCGUAAAGGGUGCGCAGGCGGAACUUUAAGUCAGUGGUGAAAUCUUGCCGCUUAACGGUAAAAUUGCCAUUGAACCUGAAGUUCUUGAAUGUAGUUGAGGUAGGCGGAAUGUGUUGUGUAGCGGUGAAAUGCAUAGAUAUGACACAGAACGCCAAUUGCGAAGGCAGCUUACUAAGCUACGAUUGACGCUGAGGCACGACAGCGGGGGGAGCGAACACGAUUAGAAA